GAUGAACGCUGGCGGCGUGCUUAACACAUGCAAGUCGAACGAAACACCUUAUUUGAUUUUCUUCGGAACUGAAGAUUUGGUGAUUGAGUGGCGGACGGGUGAGUAACGCGUGGGUAACCUGCCCUGUACAGGGGGAUAACAGUCAGAAAUGACUGCUAAUACCGCAUAAGACCACAGCACCGCAUGGUGCAGGGGUAAAAACUCCGGUGGUACAGGAUGGACCCGCGUCUGAUUAGCUGGUUGGUGAGGUAACGGCUCACCAAGGCGACGAUCAGUAGCCGGCUUGAGAGAGUGAACGGCCACAUUGGGACUGAGACACGGCCCAAACUCCUACGGGAGGCAGCAGUGGGGAAUAUUGCACAAUGGGGGAAACCCUGAUGCAGCGACGCCGCGUGAUGAAGAAGUAUUUCGGUAUGUAAAGCUCUAUCAGCAGGGAAGAAAAUGACGGUACCUGACGAAGAAGCCCCGGCUAACUACGUG
rnacentral:rRNA from 1 species